CGUCAUCAUGUGCCAAUGUCCACUUCUCCUUUUCUAACUCAGACAACUAGCUCCAAGCCUUUUCAUUUACUGUUCUGAUCCUAUCCAUGAUAAAGUUGAACUUACGAACUUGAUGAGUGCUUCUUGCUUGCCAUACUGCUCUUUUCAGCUGCACAUUUUUAAAAUGAGCGUUGAAAUUACUGCAAAUAUGUCUUAAGCAGUAUCGAUGAUAGCCACGUGGCGAACUCCAUCCAAUAGACUCAUCUGC
rnacentral:lncRNA from 1 species